AUGACCGAGGCUACAUCAUCAUAUAUGAGAUGGCAUAAGGACGACCGUGUGGAUGAUGGUAUAAUGCGGCACCCUGCAGAUUCUUUGGCAUGGAAGGAUUUUGAUAACAUUUAUUCUAAAGGAUUCUCUUCGGAUGCACGGAAUGUAAGGCUUGGGCUUGCAUCUGAUGGGCUCCACCCAUAUGGGAUAAUGAAUGUGUCAUACUCUUGUUGGCCAAUGAUUCUAAUUCCAUAUAACUUGCCUCCUUGGUUGUGUUUGAAACAACUAUAUUGGUUAAUGUCGAUGAUAAUUCCUGGAAAAAAGUCACCAGGAAAUAACAUCAAUGUAUAUCUACAGCCUUUGAUAGAUGAACUCAAAGAUCUAUGGUAUGUUGGUGCGGACACAUAUGAUGCCACAACGAAGAAGAACUUUCAGAUGCAUGCAGCCCUCAUGUGGACAAUUAAUGAUUUCCCAGCUUAUGCAAUGCUAUCUGGUUGGAGCACAAAAGGAAAACUAGCAUGCCCAUAUUGCCACAUGCACACAGACCAUUUAUGGUUGAAAUAUGGGCGCAAGUACUGUUACAUGGGUCAUCGCCGUUUUCUAAGUCGUGACCACAAGUGGCGUAGAAACAAGAGUUGCUUCAAUAACGAGACAGAAAAUAGAGAUGCUCUGGUGCCACUCUCGGGCAAUGACGUGGUACAACAACAUGCAAGUUUUGAGUAG
rnacentral:rRNA from 1 species